UACCAAUUGUCCGCCAAACAACUACGAGUUACACUUAAAACUUAAAAGACUUGACGGUACUUCACCACAACCUAGAGGAGCCUGUCUAAUAACCGAUAAUCCACGAUUAAUCUCACCCUUUCUUGCCCAACAGUCUAUAUACCGCCGUCGCCAGCCUACCUUGUAAAAGAAAUAAAGUAAGCCAAACAGUACUACACUAAAACGACAGGUCGAGGUGUAACCAAUGAAAGGGGCUAAGAUGGGCUACAUUCUCCAACCGAGAAUACGAACAGCACUAUGAAAUAAGUGCCCGAAGGCGGAUUUAGCAGUAAGAUAAGAAUAAAACACUUAACUGAACACAACGCAAUGAAGUGCGUACACACCGCCCGUCAUCCCUGUCACCAAAACAUCCAAUAUUAAUAAACCAACGAAAAAACCAAGCAGGGCAAGUCGUAACAUGGUAAGUGUACUGGAAAGUGUACUUAGAAA
rnacentral:rRNA from 1 species